rnacentral:rRNA from 1 species
GACGAACCGUGCGAACGUUGUUCGGAAUCACUGGGCUUAAAGGGCGCGUAGGCGGCUGGGCAAGUCGGGGGUGAAAUCUUUCGGCUCAACCGGAAGCGUGCCUCCGAUACUGCCCCGCUCGAGGGGGAUAGGGGCGGACGGAACUUCCGGUGGAGCGGUGAAAUGCGUUGAUAUCGGAAGGAACGCCGGUGGCGAAAGCGGUCCGCUGGGUCCCUACUGACGCUGAGGCGCGAAAGCCAGGGGAGCAAACGGG